GAUGAACGCUGGCGGCGUGCCUAAUACAUGCAAGUCGAGCGAAUGGAUUAAGAGCUUGCUCUUAUGAAGUUAGCGGCGGACGGGUGAGUAACACGUGGGUAACCUGCCCAUAAGACUGGGAUAACUCCGGGAAACCGGGGCUAAUACCGGAUAACAUCUUGAACCGCAUGGUUCGAAAUUGAAAGGCGGCUUCGGCUGUCACUUAUGGAUGGACCCGCGUCGCAUUAGCUAGUUGGUGAGGUAACGGCUCACCAAGGCAACGAUGCGGAGCCGACCUGAGAGGGUGAUCGGCCACACUGGGACUGAGACACGGCCCAGACUCCUACGGGAGGCAGCAGUAGGGAAUCUUCCGCAAUGCACGAAAGUCUGACGGAGCAACGCCGCGUGAGUGAUGAAGGCUUUCGGGUCGUAAAACUCUGUUGUUAGGGAAGAACAAGUGCUAGUUGAAUAAGCUGGCACCUUGACGGUACCUAACCAGAAAGCCACGGCUAACUACGUGCCAGCCGCCGCAGUAA
rnacentral:rRNA from 1 species